GAUCAACGCUGGCGGCGUGCCUAAUGCAUGCAAGUCGAACGGGGUGGCCUUCGGGUCACUUACGUGGCGGACGGGUGAGGAACACGUGGGCAACCUGCCCUGAGGUGGGGGAUAGCUACUGGAAACAGUGGGUAAUACCGCAUGGACUCUGGUCUCGAGUGGGGGAUUGGAGGAAAGUCGCGAGACGCCUUGGGAGGGGCCUGCGUCCGAUUAGGUAGAUGGUGGGGUAACGGCCUACCAUGCCGGUGAUCGGUAGCUGGUUUGAGAGGAUGAUCAGCCACACGGGGACUGAGACACGGCCCCGACUCCUACGGGAGGCAGCAGCAAGGAAUUUCCGCAAUGGGCGAAAGCCUGACGGAGCAACGCCGCGUGUGGGAAGACGCUUUUCGGAGUGUAAACCACUGUUCAUGAGGACGAAGCACUGACGGUACUCAUGGAGGAAGGUCCGGCUAACUACGUGCCAGCAGCCGCGGUAAGAGUGUGUGUA
rnacentral:rRNA from 1 species